CUGUUAAAUGUACCUUCGCAGUUAAUCACUCUUGUUGGCUAAGCUGUAUUGCAGUUACCCUUAUUCCUCAUAAAGCUACUUUAAUGUCUUUUGCAAAACCCUGUGCUGAGAUCGAUCCCCAAUCAGCGCCUUCUGUACGGUGCUUGGAAUGCAACCAUUUAUCUUGUGGAGGGAAAAUAAUUUUGGUGCUUCAUGACAGCUGUACUCCUCAAUCACAAAAAAGUGGUG
rnacentral:lncRNA from 1 species